rnacentral:rRNA from 1 species
AGCGAACGCUGGCGGCAGGCUUAACACAUGCAAGUCGAGCGGGCGUAGCAAUACGUCAGCGGCAGACGGGUGAGUAACGCGUGGGAACGUACCUUUUGGUUCGGAACAACACAGGGAAACUUGUGCUAAUACCGGAUAAGCCCUUACGGGGAAAGAUUUAUCGCCGAAAGAUCGGCCCGCGUCUGAUUAGCUAGUUGGUGAGGUAACGGCUCACCAAGGCGACGAUCAGUAGCUGGUCUGAGAGGAUGAUCAGCCACAUUGGGACUGAGACACGGCCCAAACUCCUACGGGAGGCAGCAGUGGGGAAUAUUGGACAAUGGGCGCAAGCCUGAUCCAGCCAUGCCGCGUGAGUGAUGAAGGCCCUAGGGUUGUAAAGCUCUUUUGUGCGGGAAGAUAAUGACGGUACCGCAAGA